rnacentral:misc_RNA from 1 species
UGUGGGAGCGAGCUUGCUCGCGAAAGCGUCAGGUCAUUGAGCGGCUCAGUGACUGAACCGACGCCAUCGCGAGCAAGCUCGCUCCCACA